UAAAGAUCUUGCUCAAAGAAAGUCUAUGAAAGUUCCAAAAAAUAUUGGGGAAGAGAAUAGCAAGGUAGUGGAAGAGAACAGAGAUAAAGAGGAUAAGCAAGGAAUUGUCUGCCUAAAGAUGUUAUCAAAAAUGUCAAUGGCUUUCGAGAGCACAGACGACCGGAAAAUGGGACUCACAGAAACUCAUAUAUGAAUUGCUUCCUGAGAAUGGAUAUGAAUCAGAAUUGGAAGAAGAUGAUGCCACAAACAGUUCUGUCAAAGUCACAAGAGAUGAAGAAAGCAGCCAACCAAAUGAUGAAAACAAAAAGACAACCAAAUCAAAAAUUGGGAUCAUUCUGUCGCGAGUCAACUAUGCUUUCUGGAAACGUGUAAAAGGGUACCCUUAUAUUAAAAAUAUUUGGAAUAAAAAGAAGAACCAUAAGUCUGCAGAGCAAUUACUUGAAUUACUAUUGGAUAGUGAUGACUCAUGGAAGCAGUGUGCCUUUAUACCCAACAAGAAAAUAAGGAUUUCGAUGGAGUUUCCUUCUAACGUCACAAAAAAGAAAGAGGACAUUAAUUUAAAAGAUAGGGUUGAGA